UACGUAGGGAGCAAGCGUUGUCCGGAAUCAUUGGGCGUAAAGCGCGUGUAGGCGGUUACAUAAGUCUGUGUGAAGUCGGAAGGCUCGAACCGUUCGAAGCCGAACUGGAUGACUGUGUGACUUGAGUACGGAAGAGGAGAGUGGAAUUCCCGGUGUAGCGGUGAAAUGCGCAGAUAUCGGGAAGAACACCCGUGGCGAAGGCGGCUCUCUGGGACGGUACUGACGCUGAGACGCGAAAGCGUGGGGAGCGAACAGG
rnacentral:rRNA from 1 species